GGGAGACCAUAGCUGAGUGGUAAAGCAUCUACUUUGCAUGCAGAAGGUCCCCAGUUUGAUCUCUGAGGUCUCAACG